rnacentral:lncRNA from 1 species
GGUUUUCAAAAUCGAGGACCUGCUUCUUCAUUCAUCGCAAAAGUACACACAAAAUAAAAAAAGUUGAAUUAAGAUAGAAUGAACAGUCUGUGAAACAGAGACGAACCUCUGCAAACAAUUUAACACAAAGACUGAUAACUUCUGAUUAAAAUUGGUUUGAUAGCAUAAGAGAAAGGCACAAGAGAUAGACAAAAAUAGCUCUAAGAUCAUUUUGGAAAAUGCAUAAUGAUACAGAACACUUUUAGAUUUUGAGGAGGAUUUUUUGUGUAUUUCGAUUAUGUGUAACAACAAACAGGUAAUGUUUAUUGAUAUUGUCAUAUCCCCUGCUCAAAAAAUCAUUAUCAGUUCUGCUGAAUGCAUUUCAGGACUCUCUUCAUCUCAUUAUUAAUAUCUUGACCAUUUUCAUCAUCAAAAGCUAAAUAGCAAAGACAAAUGAAAGAAAUGUAACAGAUUAAUUUCCGAAUGACUUCACACAACAUGCCUUCUUACCAACUUAUUGUAUGAGUGUUUUUCACCAUACUUAUCUAUAAAAAUAUGGAGCAUUGGCCUUUAUUAUUAUGAUCGGGAUAUUAUUUUCCUUUAAUUUUUUAAUCAGUUCAAAUAGAACAAUCUUGAGUUGUAUUUUUUAAUGCGUUAUAUUGUGUGACCUGAGGUCAAUCUGUGUGAAUGACAUCAUAGAACAGUCGGAUUUUAUUGUGAUGUACAAUGUACAUUUUUUAUAAUAUAGGCAGUGUGACAGGUACAUGUAGUCCAAAUAAGGUCCAAAUAAUUAUGACGUCUUGGAAGGAUAUUUUAAAUUUUAACUUGGACGACUUCCUACGAAUAAUUAUGACAUCUUGAAAGGCUAUAAUAUUUUUUUUUCUUUGGCUCAUCGAUGUUACUAUGCGUCAAAGAAAAAAAAUCUUAUAGCCUUUCAAAACGUCUUAUAUAUAAUUAUUUUGUGCUAUACGAUAAUGACAGGAAAAUAAAGGGAAAACUGCAGAAAAUCAAAAGUUGUCAAUACCAUAUAUAUUACAUUUGUAGUUUAAACAUAUUUAUUAAUCAUGUUAAUAGUGGAUUGGGAAACAAGUUAUUACAACUUUCAUCAAUUUCAUUCCACUUUGUGGUUGCGAGUGCUGCCUUCAAGCGACAUUAGCUAUAGAUAGUCUGCUCUUUUUCAUAAUCUACAAUGAUAUCUUUUAUGUGCAAGAGAUAUUGCUCUCGCUUAACACGUAUCAUACAUGUAUAUAAGGUUGGUGUUACCUGUGAAUUGGUACGAAGUUUGCAAAGCUAUAGAAUACUUUACUAUAUCCUGUUAACGGUAGAUUUAUAUAAUUAAAUAUGUGUCAGAACCUUUUAUUGUAAAAUAUGUCCCAGGAUAAUUUAUGGUGAAAAAGUAUCUCGAAUCCAUUUGUUGUUAAAAUCUAUUUCAAAACUAUACAACCAUUGUGGGGGUAAUUUGUGUGUAAAAUUGUAGAAUAUACAUGUACAUGUAGAUCUGACCAAUUUAGAGUAUUUUUUUAUGAAAUACAAAUGAAUUGCGCCAGUUGAAUUCGUGUUAUUCAAUAACCAACUCUUUGACUGUGUAAAUGUAAUUAUAUAAUAACAUUACUCAGAAGCAUUGUGAUGUUGAAAAUAUACAAGGAAAUACAUGAAUGCAAUUUAUCUAAAAUGAAAAAUAUGCUAACACAGACACAGUCAUCUGAUCAUAUUUAAGAGAUUUGAGUAGGAAGAAAAGUGAAAGUUUCAUAGAGCCUCAGAGAUCGGUAGUCGCUCAUAGGUGGUGGUUUUAUAAAAAAAAAACAUUGUUCCCAAUAGUGAACAAGAAAUCAUUUUGAAAAUUCUACUAAAGAAUAUUAGCUUGCUGUUCGGUGUGAUCCAAAGCUCUGUGUUGAAGACCGUACUUUGACUUAUGAUGAUAUACUUUUACAAAUUGUGACUUGGAUGGAGUCCGAGAGUUGUCUCAAAGGCACUCUGACAUACCACAUCUUAUUACUGUAUAUAUACCUAUUAAGAACAUAAUGCAUCUUUCAAUCAUACAAUGUGACUUUCAAAUAAAAAGUUCAAUAAAUUAACUUUCUACAAAAAGUUUUUGACAAUAAAGUUGCCUGACUUUACCAAAAAAUGUGUUACAAUGUAUAUUGAUAAGCAUGCAAGCAAAAUUUGCAUUAUUUUUAGGGAAAGGGAAAUAAACAAAGAAUAGAGAACUUGAUUAUUACAAAUAAAGGCAACUUUUGAAGAUUUCAGCAGGUAGCUGUGUACUAAGCAUGCUAAAUUUUAUGAAUACUUACAUUUUGUAUCUGUUAUUUGUCAUGUAUGUAAAUAUUAACCCUUACAUCAAUGCAGGUCAUUGAUCAAUAACUACAUUUUGAUGCUGAUUUUGUUUCAACAUAUAAACAUCUCCUUUUAUUCAUAUAUUAUGUACAAUGUAUAUAAAACACAAAUUCAGUCUUUAGUCUAUUGUUGAAAAAUCUAUAAUUAAUAAAUAUAUAUAUAAUUUCAGGCAAUCAAAAAGAUUUGAAGAAAUAUCAAAUGGAAAUAAAUUUAGAAUGCAGGUAUGUUUUGUUCAUAAGAGUCAUGUCAUCCAAAAUACCUGUACAUGCAUAUACUCACAGUGAUCUUUUACCAGCAAAGAUUCUGGCAAUCUGUAACUGUGUUCUGUUGUUUUUCAUAUGAUCUUUCAAAUUGAAAAGAAAAUAUGAAUACAUUUGUAUACUUGAUAAAGCAUGCUAGGCUUUCCCAUAGAAUACAUGUACUUUUUGUACAUAAACUUUCUUCAAAAGAAAAUCCUUUAUUUUGUUCAAAUCAUCUGAAAAGUAUUGCUAUUAAAUUUUUGUCUUUCCGUAAUCUUAUCCAACCAAGUGCAAUAGAUUGUCAAUAUGCAGUGAUUAAAUUCAGUAUUAAGAGCAAAGAGAAAGAAUGAUUGCAAAAGAGGAGAAAAAUCAAACGAAGAUCUAGUAUUAAUAUUAACCAAUUUUUAAAUGAAAAUUUUAAUACACCAAAACUUUUAUCAAUAGACAACUUUCGAGUUCGAUUCAUUUCUGUCUAAAACUUUGGUUUUAGUGAACAUCAUUUGUGUGUUUAGGGACAUCAUCACUUCCGUUCUCAUUUUAAGCGAGUGGUUAGAAAACUAUGAUGCUAUAUUGCACGAAAUAUUCGGCAAAUUGAAUUCUCAUAAUUGAAAAUCAGAAUGCUGUCAUUAGAGAAUUGCGAGUAGCUACAGAACAUUGAACAAAUAUUAUUUCAAGUUUAUCCUCCACAUUGACGAUCACUAAGACGCUUGAUGAACGUUGAUAGUGCAGGGAUACAGGCAAUCCCCUCUAUCAGGUAAAUGAUGUCAUAAAGGCGCGCAUAAUUGAACAGUUUUUUUGGGUGACGACAAACACAAAAGUGGUCUCUUGUUUUGGCAAAGUUUAGUGUACAAAUGUACACGUGUACUCAUAAAAUUAUAACAUCACUCAUUAACUCACUUAAUAUAAACAAUUUAUACAAUGUACAUGUGCAUCAUAGUGAUUAUGUGUUAAUUAUUCAUUAAGGUCCCAAAUGAUAAACUUUCAGUACCAAAACAUAAAAGUUAAGAAGCAGGCAAAUUUCAUUAAUCUUUGUGUAAUGGUAUGAUGUUGCUGUCGUCUGUGUCAUCCAAAGACACAUUUGUUUUCCAGACAAUUUAUUUAGUUUAGAUGCAUGGAUCUCUAUGAAAUUUUACAAGAAUUCAAUACCACAAAAGGAAGGUCAGGAUUUAUUUUUGAGGUUAUGGUACCAAUUCAACAGUUAAGGAAUUCAGGGGCCAAAAGGGGCCAAAAACAAGCAUUUUUGUAGUUUCUGGACGAAAACUUAUGUGUAAUUGUAUGGAUCUCAUUGACAUUGUUUUUCAAUGUUCCAUAUCACAAAAGGAAGGCAGGGAUUGAGUUUGGGGGUAAUUGCCUCAAACAUGCAGGAACUAGAAGCAAAAAAGGAGCCUAAGUAAGCAUUUUUCUAGUUGCCAUACAAUAACUUGAGUUUAAGUGUAUGGAUCUCUCUUAAUUUGUACUACAAGGUUCCGUACUUGAAAGGGAAGGCUGUGAUUACGUUUAGGAGUCAUUGUUUCAAAGGGAGGGUGGUUGAAAAUUAAAAGUUGGGGAGGUGGUUUUUAAUUAUAAGGGGUUCAUAUUUUUUUUUCAUUUGUUGAAAUCUUCAAUUACACAUUUAUUUUGUGUCAGAAACCUAUAUGAUGCCAUUUUUUUUUUUAUCACAAUCCAAAUUCAGUCAGCAUCAAGCUUGAAUAUUGUCCAUAUUUGCACUGUUCAGGGUUCAACCUCUGUUAUAUCUGGCUUCAGCUGGAAGCAUUUUAUUUUUUAUUACACUGUUUCAUAUGAAUUAAAGCAGGUAGCAUUCUAAUAAGGGAUCAUGUUCAUUUGUCUGUAUGCAAGUGCAAGAUGUACAUAUUGUUUUACAUUGUUUUUUCAGGGCCUUUUAUAGCUGAUAGUUAUUAGUGUCUGUCAUUUUUGUCUCUUGUGGAGAGUUGUCUCAUUGGCAAUCAUACCUCAUCUUCUUUUUAUAUAUAUGUCCAGAUUAUAUAUUGACAGGUUCAUUUAUAAAAAAAAUCUACAUAAUAACUUUUUAAACUAUCCUGGAUUUCUACAAAGCUUGGACAGAAGCUUGUUUAAGAUAUUAAGAUAGUGUCCAGAAGUAAACAUUUAAAAAAAAAUCCUGUUUUUCUGUAUUUUACUUACAAAUGUACUUUGUUUGUCCUCCAGUUAACAAUACAUACAUGUACAGUGCAGUUAACAUGGUUAAAGUUUUUAAAACAUUUAUAAGAAUCGUAUACCAUCCUGGAGUCGAUUUCACAAAAAAACUUACGACUAAGAUUGGUCGUAAGUAUACUGAAUUGUUCAUGACUUACGAUCAAUCUUAGUCUUAAGUUUUUUUGUGAAAUCGAAUCCUGGAUAUUUACUCAACUUGGACAGAAGCUUCUUACAAUCAAAAGAUAGUGUUCAGAGGAAAUUUUUUAAUAAUUUUUUGCCAUUUUUAUUGAGCCUGCAACUAACAGCAAAAGUAGGUGAAACACUUGGUUAACGCGGAACCCUUAAGAAUUUUAUGUCAAUCAUUGUUUUAAUAUGUGAUGCUCAACUUUUACCAAGAUUGAUUUUUAUUACUAAGUCUUAUGAGAUUUAUCCAGCUGGCUCAAAUAUUUUUUGGAAGCCCUGGUUCAUUUGUAUCUGUAUUGUAACCUAUACAAAGCGUUCAGGUUCCUGAGAGCCUAGCUAUGAUGGUCCCUUGAUAUCAUUUGUACAUGUAUUGUAACUUUUACAAUGAGUUCAGGUUCACUGGAGCCUAGCUGUGAUGGUCACUUGGUAUCAUUUGUACAUGUGUUGUAACCUAUACAAUGAGUUCAGGUUCCUCGGAGCCUAGCUAUGAUGGUCACUUGAUAUCAUUUGUACAUGUAUUGUAACUUUUACAAUGAGUUCAGGUUCACUGGAGCCUAGCACUUGAUAUCAUUUGUACAUGUGUUGUAACCUAUACAAUGAGUUCAGGUUCCUCGGAGCCUAGCUGUGAUGGUCACUUGAUAUCAUUUGUACAUGUGUUGUAACCUAUACAAUAAGUUCAGGUUCACUGGAGCCUAGCUAUGAUGGUCACUUGAUAUCAUUUGUACAUGUGUUGUAACCUUAAAAUGAGUUAAGGUUCACUGGAGCCUAGCUACAUUGUAUGAAGGUCACUUGAUAUCAUUUGUACAUGUGUUGUAACUAUACAAUGAGUUCAGGUUCCUGGGAGCCUAGCUAUGAAGGUCACUUGAUAUCAUUUGUACAUGUGUUGUAACCUAUACAACAUGUACAAUCAGUUCAGGUUCCUCGGAGCCUAGCUAUGAUGGUCACUUGAUAUCAUUUGUACAUGUGUUGUACCCUUUACAAUGAGUACCUAGGAGCCUCUAGUUUAUAGAACUGUCAUGCCUUUGUAACAUGUUGUGCUGCAAUAGACUUUAUUGAUUUACAUGGUAAUUAGUCCAAUUGUCCUCUGCUUAAUGAAUUAAUCAUGUAUUAAAACACAAAGUAUUCUCCUAUGGCCUCACAUGGUAGUCAAUUAGUUAUACACACAGGAAUUCAUACCACAAAAUAUUCAUCAUGUACACCUUGUAGAGUUUUACAUACAAAGAAGCAUGUCCCCAUAAUUAAGCUUGGAGCCUGGAGAAAGUCAAGUGAUACUUGGAUCUAUAUUAAACCAUUUAGAAUGACCCAAGAUAGUUCUGAUAUUGUAGCAUGUGUUUGUUAGAAAGGCUUUUACAACUUAUAAAUACUUGUAGUUAAGACUCUUGGCAAUUCUUAACAAGCCUUUUUAAUUAAUACUCAGGUAUAUACAUUCAUACUUUAUUAACCUAAAUUUAGUAUAAUUACAUACUUAUGUAAGUCGUGUAAUUAUACAUGUAGCAGUUCAAAAUAGAUUUAUAGACUAUUUUUUGAAAAUGAUUGAAAUUGUUUUCUAUAAAGUAGACUACUUUUUGGUCACGUUAAACGUUGUUGUCUCUUUGACACCAUGGUUACCAUGGUUGCCCAAAACUUUAUGAAAUGUAACCAGAGUUAUGCCACUUAAUUACAUAUAUUCUAUAUUUAUAAAACAAAAAUUGACUCAGUAUCUGACAGUUUCACUUGUUAAGUCUUUAUGAUCUAGAUAUCGGGUCAAAAAAUAGUGUUUUUUUGUGGUUGACAGAACACAUGUUCACUGUCUCCAUUAGUCUCAGAGUUUCCUUGAAAAAUUUUGAUGUUUUGGUUGCUCUCUCAUUAACUCAUCCAUAGCUUUUAGUUUUGAAGUUGGGUGAAUUAUUAAAACCAUUUCAUAAUAAAAUAAAUCAGUAACAAAAUAGAAGGCAGGUUUCCAUCCUGGGAAAACAAUGCAUUCUUUGUAGUAACUUAACAUGUUAUGAUUUAAAAAAUUGUUUUUUCUCUCAACUUAUUGGUCUGAAUUGAUCUGUUUUACAGUUGUUGCAAUUUACCAAAUACGGUACUUUGAAUUUUGUAUGUAUCAGUUUUUUUAACCAAAAUAAUGAUAGGAGUUUUAACCUAUGAUUACUUUAAGCUGGCAGUUAAACAUCAACUGUCACUCUGACGCUGAUAUAAAAUAUUCUUGGAUUGGAAAUUUGUAGUUGAUAGUUACUGCAAUGUAAUGAGCUGAAGUUAUCUCCCUUUGACCUCACCAGAAAAUUAUGGAAUAUUGUGAUUUACAACUGAAAUUUCUACCAUUUCAUUCGUAAGCAAAUAUAUAUGUUUUCAAUUUUCAAAUGAUUUCAGUCAAAAAAUUAUCUUUUAGAUGUGUAUAAAUUUUCAUUCAUUAAUGACCCUAUACAUGUAGUAUGGAUUAGAAUAUGUAGUUUUGAAAGGAAAGUUUGCAUCCUCUGCAAAAGAACAAUGGAAUUAAAGUCAAAGUUAAUCAUAAGUUUAAAAAGUAAGGGGACAAAAAAUGUUGACCUGAUAACUUUUAAAUUAUUUCUGAAAAAGGAUUCCUAUAUGAAAGUCAACAUUUUUGAAGUUUCUUGAAAAAGGAUGUCAACAUUGAAAGUGAAACAAAGGUAAAUAAUUUGAUUAAAUGAUUCGAUCCACACAAAAUUAUUCUUUUAAAGGUAAAAACGACGAUAAACAGACUUUUUUAAUCUAUAAUACAACAUUUAAUAGACCUAUAAAAAUGGAUGGCGUCUUGGCUAAAAUUUAAACGAAAAGAAGCUACAUCUAAUUGAGACCAUGUCCUGUAAGUUGUUUAUUUUAUACUUUUGAUAGUUUGGAAAAAUGUUUUACAUUGUUAUAAAUGAAAUAUGAGAAUUUGAGUCAAAUGGGUGAACAUGAAUUUGGCAGCUAGUGCCCCUUUAAAUGUUCAUCAAAAUGAUUUAUUAACUAUUCUAUUUGAUAAACAAUUAUAGGAUUCAAAUUAAACAAAAGUUUAUUCAAUCAUCAAAAUAGUUGUUUGUUGGAUAGAGGUUAUUAGAUAGAAGGUUGAUAUCCCAUUAAGUCCAAGAAGUUGUUAUAUUUGGCUUGGACGGUUAUUUAUUACCUUUCAAUCUUUAAUCCUUAAUUUAGUUUCUGUAUGGACCAAUGAUCUCUCAAUUGAGGUUAAAUGUUAUGUAAGGUAGCAAGGUUAAUAGACAUAGGCAGUUUGUGAAGUUCAUGUUAUAAAUUUAUCUAAAUGUAUUUUAUGUGUGUAAGCUGCAUUUUCAUUUUGUAUUCACAAAGUUAUAUUUAUCUAGAUGUAUCUAUACUAAUUAACGAGAGACCUCAUUUUUUGUCGUGGUCGCUUCUCUUCCUCCAUAAUAAAUUAAUCAUCAUGACUCUGUGUUCUUUAGUAACUGCAUAGUCGCAUUGUCAUCCUUCUUAUGAUAAUUAGGCGCUUUCCUUUAGUGCGGGUUGCCAUUCUAGGGAUCAGUUCUGUCCGUCCGAUCCUUUCAGGUUAAAGUUUUUGUCAAAGUAGUUUUUUGAGAAGCUGAAUUCCAAUCAACUUGAAACAAUUAGUAACACUUGUUUGCUUAUGGAUCAUGAUCUUUCUAAUUUUAAAGCCGACAUUAGACUUUUGCCCCAAUUUCACGGUCCAACUGAACAUAGAAAAUGAAAGUGGGAGUUUCCGGUUAAAGUUUUUGGUCAAGGUAGUUUUUGAUGAAGCCUGAAGUCCAAUCAAACUUGAAACUUCCAAUCAACUUGAAACUUAGUACAACUUGUUGCUUAUGAUAUGAAUCUUUCUAAUUUAAAGGCCGAAUUAAGACUUUUGACCCCAAUUCACGGUCCACUGAACAUAGAAAAUGAAAGUGGAGUUUCAGGUUAAAGUUUUUGGUCAAGGUAGUUUUUGAUGAAGCUGAAGUCCAAUCAACUUGAAACUUACUACACUUGUUUGCUCUAUGAUAUGAAUCUUUUUAAUUUUAAAGCAAAUUAGUCUUUUGACCCCAAUUUCACGGUCCAUCUGAACAUAAAAAUGAAAGUGGGAGUUUCAGGUUAAAGUUUUUUGGUCAAGGUAGUUUUUGAUGAAGUUGAAAUCCAAUCACACUUGAAACUUGUACCAUUGUUCCUUGAAUAAUGAUCUUUAUAAUUUUAAUGCCAAAUUAGAUUUUUUAACCAAUUCAACACGGUCAUGAAAAAUGAUAGUGGCGAGUGGGCUCCGUGUACUUUGGCACAUUCUUGUUAAUUUUUAAAUAAUUUGACUUCUUUACCAAAAAAUGGCAUUGUAAGCAAAAGGGGAAGAAUCAAUGUGGUACAUGUAUAAGGCCAGAAACCAACGAAAAAUAAUUUGAAUUUAACAAGAAAAGGAAACAAUACAACUUUUGGAAAAAAGAGAGAGGGCUUUUUUGUUACCCCAGUCAUAAUAAUCUUUACAAAAAUUCAUCCUACAAACAGUUUCAAGAAAUGCUAUAAUGCCCUGCGAUUUUGCGGGUGUGUUUCUAGUAAUUUAAUAUUAUUAGUUACAUAGUGUGCUAGUGACCUUUUUUAUGGUAUCAUAUUGGGUGAGAGCGACGCCCAUAUAUGACCGGAUUACGGCACUUGGCACACUAUUAACGAAUUUAUCUUAACCAUCUAUCUUAACCGUGUGAAAUUUAGAACUAGUGACUAUCAACAACAAGCAAUCUUCAAUACUGUUUAAGCAUUUAAGAAACUACUUUCAUUGAUCCUACAAAAAAUGUGCCAACAAUAACAGCUUGUUAGGUUUUAAAAUUUGUUUUAUGAAUUUAUUUAAUCUAUUAUUCUUUUUAAUCAUCAAUUUCUUUCGUCUGUUGAAACCUUAAGAUUUUUUCUGCAGUACCAUUUUGUUUUUAUAAAGGGACAUACACCUUCAACUAACUGUGUAUGAAAUAAAGCCUGCCUCCCUUCUAACCUAUAUGGAAUAUAAAGGGACGUUAACACCACUACUAAACCGUGUAUGAAUAAGCCCCGGCCUCCCUACUGAACCUAUGCUAUGAAGUAUACAGGUCUCCACGUGGAUGCUUUUUAAACCAAUUCAUUUCUAGAAAAUUAUCAGGAGGUAAGAUAAUAAUUUAUACCUACAGCAAAAUUCAUUAGGAGAAAAUGCACUACAAACAAAAGAGAUUAUAUACAGUUAAUGAACGAUACCAAUUUUAAAGUAACUUGUCCUGACUGUCAAUUUUUUGCUUGAAACAUAAAAAUUCGACCAAAUUAGAGACCUGCUGCUGUCAUUUUGAAUUUUAAAAAGAACAAUAUAGAAAUUCUGUUCUAUACACUAUUUACUGUUUCUGAAUAAAAUUUACUAGUCUGGGGAAAAAAAAGAGUUGGGGUUUAAGGUUGAAAGUUUUUAUUGUCAACUUCAUGGCUGAACUAUACUAAGAAGGAGUUUGAAAUUUGCUCAAAAUUCUAAAACAAGAAGUAGGUUGCGUAGUGUUGUGCCAUGUAUCCACAUACAUGUACAUCUAAUAUGAAAACCACCAUGUAAAAAAGCUAAUAAUUACAUGCAAUAACUGCAAUGUUCCCACAUCUGUAAAUAAUCAGUAUAAUACAUAGGGGGGAGAGUAAAGUGGAAGAAAAGUACUAGCUAGGUAAUAAUGUGGGGUGGAGAAUACGUUUGGGAGGAAUUCAAAACUAAAAUGGGUUGAAUGGUUUUUUGCUCUGACAAAGUUCCAUCCAUGGAUAUUAAGUUCUUUGGUUAAAUCUAAGAAUAGAAAUUCAAAUGGGAAUGUUUCAAAGAGACACAACCCAACAUUAUAUAAAAUUCAUUUUUAUUUUUAUAGUUGUUCCAGUGAAGUAAUUCAUUUUAGUCCACCGCCAAAUUUUCCUCUUUUUCCUGAUGGACUUGUCAUUUUAAACACCACUCAUAUAAUAUGGGGAAGUAAUUUUUUUUUAAUCAAAACUAAAACAAAUCUGCAAUCAUUGAUAUGCCAGCCGACUGCACUUGAAAGAUCAAGUGAAAAAUGGUUGAAAAUUUUAUUAAAAUUUAUGCAUGUCCCAUAAAAUUUCAGAGAGAAUUCAAUAAUCAUCUAAAUAAAUUGUAAAAUUAUUCUGUUUCUACAAUAAAAAAUAAAUCACAAUAUAUAGAAAGAAAAUGCAUACUUUUGCUAUAAAAUAGAAAACAAGAAAAUCUCAGUUUGUCAUAGUUUCAUGAUAAAGUUUGCUAAAAAUAGCUUAUAGUUUUAAAUAUAUAUAUCUAAAGUGGAAUUAAUAGCUUUGUUCAAGUGUAGGGGUAAUAAGGAGUUUUUAUACCUAACAUUUUAUUAUGAAAUCAUCUUUACGAACUAAAUGUACUUAGACAAAUUGUAUUAAACUAUAAACUAAAACUUCCAAGGAAAGAAAUUUAAUUUUGGAAACAAAAUUUUGCUGCUAAAGGUAAAUAUAGUAUUUAAUUCCAAAAAAAAAAGGGUAAGAAAAUUAAAUUUAUUUUUAUACUUUACAUUUGGUUAACCCAUUUGUAAAACUAUUGAAAAGUUUCAUAGUUGUGGACUGUCUUGUGAUGUACUUUAAAUUUUGUAAAAAGAUAUACAUGUAGGUAUGUAUUUAUGUUAUAUAAUGACCCUAAAAUUUAACCUACUGCUGUACUGGUAAGUUCUAAGACAUAUUCAAAGGAAAAUGAGAUAAUUUGUAUGCAUGUACUAUUGUGUAGAGUUUUAUAGUCAGAGGACAAAGGGAUAAAUUUAUACAGUUUUGUAAUCAAAUGACAAAGUGAUACAAUUGUACAUAGUUUUGUAAUCAAAGGACAAUUUGUACAUUUGUACAUAGUUUUGUAGUCAAAGGACAAUUUGUACAUUUGUACUUAGAUUUGUAAUCAAAUGACAAAAGUAGUACAAUUGUACAGAGUUCUGAGUCAGGAGGACAAAGUUGUUAAGUUGUACCAAGUUGUGUUAUGGAAUCACAAAUUGAAUCAUUUGUACAGAGUAUGUAUUCAAUGGACCAAGAGGUACAUCUGUACUCAGUUUUGUUAUCAACACACAAAUGGGUACAAUUGUACAGUUUUGUUAUCAAGACACAAAGGCAUACAAUUGUACACAGUUUUGUUAUCAACACACAAAUGGGUACAAAGUUUUGUAGUCAAAGGACAAAGUGAUUCAUUUGUACAUAUUUUCAUGUGCUCAUAGGAUACAUUUAGUACAAAGAUUUGUAUAUUUGUAGUCGAAGCACAAAGUGAUUCAUUUGUACAUAGUUUUUAAGUCAAUGGAACCAAAGUUAAAUUGGUGUAUUAUUUUGUAUUCAAAAGUCCAAGUGGUUCAUGUACCCAUUAUUUUGUAAUUAAGGACAAAGUGGUACAAUAGUACAUAUUUUUGUAGCUUUUCUAGUAUAAGGAAAAAGUAGUUGUACAAUUUGUAGUCUAAAGUAAAAGGUCGACAAAGUGGUGCAAUUGCAAAUGGACAAAGGGUGGUCAAGGACAAAGUGGUAAAUUUGUAAAUGGACAAAGGGUGGUCAAGGACAAAGUGGUAAAUUUGUAAAUGGAUUUUUUUUCAAAGGACAAAUGUAUAAAUUAUUGUACAAAGUUUUGAAGUCUUAGGCCAAAGUGACACAGUUGUACAUAGUUUAGUAGUUUUUUGUUGCAUAUGAAUUAUGUCAAUACAUAUAAUGUUAAUGGGUAAAGUUUUUUAGUGAAUUGAAAAAGAUUUAGAAAGUUUACUGGUAUUACAUGUACUAGUUAAACGAUGGUGAAGAUAAUGUGAUUAUAUUCUUACACUAUUUGAUAUUACAGAUAGGGCUAGUACACUCACAGACUUAUCCUGUUGUGAGCCCCUGAUUAAAACAACACACAUACUAGAGUACUCAUUAAUGAACACUUCUUACUUAUAUAUAGUUAUUAUCAUAAUUUAGGUGUGAAAAAGUGUGAAAAUUAUUUUUCACCUCAAAUUGGAUAUUGCUUUUAACUUCUUCAGGAUUUUAUGUGAAAUUCAUAUGAUGAAAGUUAUAGUUGAGAAUUUAAGGAAUUUAUGUGUGUAAUUUGUGAAUAAGAUAAUUUUCUGGGAUGGUACCGAUUUGUAGUGAAUUUGGUGCUGUGUAUAAUUAUCUACAAUAGAUGAAAAUAUAUGAUGACAGUAGAUUUUGGUAAGUCAGCUUGACAAUUUAUUUCUGAAUUAUAUAGAUUUUUCUUUAUCAUCAAAAACCAGAUUUUAUCAUAGUAUAUAUAUAUACAUGUAUAUAGUUUGAGAUGGGGAAUGACUGGCACUAGCUGAGAGUACAGUAUUUAUAUGUUUUAGUCACUUUCACAAGAAAAAUGUUUGAAGUUUAUGGAGAUUUGAAUAAUAUUCAAUACAAUAUAUAAUCAAACAUUAUAUUUUUUCUCAUUUAUAAGAAGGCUAUCCUUUUAUUUUAAAGUGAUCUGUUCAUAGUUCAACUUAUAUAGGACUUGUAUGAACAAUUUAUGAACAUGCUUCAAAAUCGUAAAAAUACUCUUAUCAAAAGUGGUUGGCAUCUCUAUGAAGAGGAAUAAUUUGGAAGUUUAAUAUAAAUGUCUACUGUUAAUAUUUUUUUAUGGAGAAACCUCUGCUAUUUAUCAAUUCAAAAAAAGGGCCUCCGUUACGGUGUGUCUAAGUUGUUCAUCUGCUGUGUCUCUAGUAAAGACUCAAGUGGUUGAUUUUGAACCCAGCACAUGGCACCUUCUCUGAACUCUUAAAAAAGCCUUGCCACUGAGUUCUUCGAAUAGAAACUAAAUUUAAUUAAAUGUAUAUAUAUAAUACUAAACUCAGUUUAAGUUCAAAUUUUGGCAGCUUCACUUUUAUAGUUAUUGAGUUAUGUCCCUUUAUAACGUUGUAUAUGCUAACUGGGACAUCAUCUGUGUCCCCUAUGGAGACAUUCCCCAUAUACUAUUUCACAAUAAAUGGUUAGAAGCAGAUUGUCAUUGUGAUCUUUUGUACAUCUUUAAACCGGUCAGACUACUAUAAAAAAAGUUUUAACAAACCUUCAUUGGAUAUAUCAGAGGCUACACUGGUUCUAUAAAUGCUUGUUGAAGUACAUAGUUUUUUGAAAGACAAUUUUCAUGUGAUUUAAACUGAGUGUCUGGAUCGACCACCGUUUGAGGUGUUCCAAAUGAAUUUUUAUCAAAGCUGAUAACUGUAUUUUCAACUCUUUUUUUUCAGAUGUAGUACAUGUAAUGGCCUCAGAUAAUUGUAUUUUUUCCUCUUUCAUUUCAGAUGUAGUACAUGUAAUGGCCUCAGAUAAUUGUAUUUUCUCUUCUUUCAUUUCAGAUGUAGUACAUGUAAUGGCCUCAGAUAAUUGUAUUUUCCCCUCUUUCAUUUCAGAUGUAGUACAUGUGUGGCCUCAGAUAAUUUGACUUGUAUUUUCUCUCUUUUUCAUUUCAGAAUGUAGUACAUGUAAUGGCCUCAGAUAAUUGUAUUUUUCUCCUCUUUUAUUUUCAAAUGUAGUACAUGUAAAUGGCCUCAGAUAUAAUUGUAUAUUUCUCCAUCUUUCAUUUCAGAUGUAGUACAUGUUAAUGGCCUCAGAUAAAUAAUGUAAUUUUUCCCCUCUUUUAUUCAGAUGUAGUACAUGUAAUGGCCUCAGAUAAUUGGUAAUUUUCCCUCUUUCAUUUCAGAUGUAGUCCAAUGGUAGUGGCUCAGAAUAAUUGUAUUUUCCUCCCUCUUUCAUUUCAGAUGUAGUAGCAUUGUAUGGCCUCACAGAUAAUUGUAUUUUCUCCUCUUUCAAUUUUCAGAUGUAAGUACAUUAAUGGCCUGCAGAUAAUUGUUUUUCCUCUUUCAUUUCCAGGAUGUAGUACAUGUAUGGCCUCAGAUAUUGUAUUUUCCCCCCUCUUUUCAUUUCAGAUGUAAGUACAGAUGUAAUGGCCUCAGAUAAUUGUAUUUUUCUCCUCUUCAAUUUCCAGAUGUAGUACCUGUAGUGGCACAGAUAAUUGUAAUUUUCUUCCUCUUUCAUUUCAGAUCGUGUACAAUGUAGUGGCCUCAGAUAUUGUAUUUUCCCUCUUUUCUUUCAAGAUGUAGUACAUGUAAUGGCCUCAGAUAAUUGUAUUUUCUCCUCUUUCAUUUCAGAUGUAGUACAUGUAAUGGCCUCAGAUAAAGCCUUCCAUAAGAGAGAUUCCUCAAAUGUUCUAGUCAAACAGG